GUAACAAUAGAAAUAAGUGACUAUAGCUGUCAAUAACUUUUCUGAGUAGUUUGUAUUGUAGAGAGAUCUAAUAUAGUGGUUUGUUAUGUUUUAAGAGCAGGUGUUCCACCUGGCCUCUGUAUCAUGCACUGGCCAUGCAUAUAUGGAGCACAUGUGAAAAAACCUUGCAAUCUCUAGCAAGAAUUAAAACAGGAGAGAAUCUGUGAUGGGUGAGAAAGGCAAAGUGCACUUUGAAGCAGGGGAUGCCUUGCAGGCAGUGCCUAUCACAUUCACCACUAUUGUAUUCCUUCUCUCUCCUUUUGGUGGUUUAUCACCUCAUAGUUGUCGAUAAGUAAUAAUACAUUAGCUUAGAAAUUUCCAUUUAUAGAAUUGUCUAAAAUGAAUGCUUGAAUGAGUGUGUAUAUGUCAACUCAAAAAAUUAUGACCUUACAUGUAACCUUAUGUUUAGUGCAUUGUCAGUCAAGGUUUUGAUUGAGUGAUGAUUAUGUUAACAUUUAAGUCCCCUGCAGCUCAGCGACACUGGGCCACUGCCAUCGUGGUCCUUGGUGUGCCGCGACAUAUCAAGACAGACAAUGGCUCGUGCUUCAUCUCGCAAUCUACUCAAGAAUGGCUUGAGCAUUGGGGAAUAUCUCACUCGACAGGAAUCCCUGGGAAUUCCCAGGGGCAAGCAAUUGUGGAAAGGGCCAACCGUCUCCUGAAGGACAAGAUACGUGUCCUUGGGGAGGGGGAAGGUCACAGAGAAUAGAGCUGCAAUAGAUUUCCUGCUGCUGGCUCAAGAGGCACAGGUGCAAGGACUUUGAAGGGUUGCUUACAACUUACGAUGGAAAGAGUGCUUAAUGAGAGAAUGGAGUUCCAGCGGAUAUACAAGAAGCUUUGCGCAGAAGGAUGAACUGUAUAAUAUAACCAAAGAUGCCUUGGACAUACUGUUUAGAACACCACUAACAUUGUUAGACAUUGCACCACUUAUCUCUGCAUGUUUUGUAACCUGUAUACCUCACUUUAUAGUUAAUCUGUAACAAAGUUUAAAUUAUAUAAGUACUAACACUUUUAUAUAUUAGGAUUAGGAUCGGCGCUUGCGUUGUAACGGGGCAUGGUUUUGUUAAGCAUGGGGCGGGGGAGAUGUUGCAUUAGGCGUGCACGAACACUCGGGAUGUAACGCGAUAGGCCCUCCCCUGCUCGGUUAUGCAUAUGUAGAAGGAGUUAUGCAUAUGUAGAAGGGGUGUAGACGAAGUAGAUAGCGGCUUAUUUAAACUGCUAACACACACAAUAAAACGCCAUUUAGCUAUUCACCA